AUGCACGCUGGCGGCGUGCCUAAUACAUGCAAGUCGCGCGAACGGACGAGAAGCUUGCUUCUCUGAUGUUAGCGGCGGACGGGUGAGUAACACGUGGAUAACCUACCUAUAAGACUGGGAUAACUUCGGGAAACGGUAGCUAAUACCGGAUAAUAUUUUGAACCGCAUGGUUCAAAAGUGAAAGACGGUCUUGCUGUCACUUAUAGAUGGAUCCGCGCUGCAUUAGCUAGUUGGUAAGGUAACGGCUUACCAAGGCAACGAUGCAUAGCCGACCUGAGAGGGUGAUCGGCCACACUGGAACUGAGACACGGUCCAGACUCCUACGGGAGGCAGCAGUAGGGAAUCUUCCGCAAUGGGCGAAAGCCUGACGGAGCAACGCCGCGUGAGUGAUGAAGGUCUUCGGAUCGUAAAACUCUGUUAUUAGGGAAGAACAUAUGUGUAAGUAACUGUGCACAUCUUGACGGUACCUAAUCAGAAAGCCACGGCUAACUACGUG
rnacentral:rRNA from 1 species